rnacentral:lncRNA from 13 species
CUCACAACACCCCAGUGAAGUAGAUGGCAAUAUGAUCUCCAUUUUACAGAUGGGGAGACCAAGGCUCGUGGAAGUUAAGGUCACAUAGCAAGUAAGUAAGAGAGCUAGGAUUCAACCAGGACCGCCUGACUUCAAGGCUUAUUCUUUUAAUCUCUUUAUCGCACAGCAGGUCCUUCAAGGACCUCCUUGUAAAGAAAAUCCCACAUAUCUUUCUCAUCUAUUUCUGGGACUUCCUAAGAAAAACCCUGGAGUCCAAGGGUGGCUGUGGCUGUCUCACCUCACGUGAGGGGAGGUGGAGGCAGUGUGGUGCUGGGUGACCCUGUGGUGAGCUGGACCCUGUGAUUGCCAGAGUCCGCCCCAACAGGAAUGCUGGGAACUAGACUGACUGGGGGUGAGCAAGUGACUCAAGCAUGGCUGACCAGUGUUCUGGAUUCACCCAGCCCCAGCCAUUGGUUCAGGGGCGCGACUCGUGACCUAGAUUGGCCCAAAGUGAAGCCUAGGAUGUGUGUGUGCGUUUUGGGGAAGAGACUUGUUUUCCUCACCAGUGGAUGAGAGCUUGACGGUCGGUAUACACAGCAUAUAUAUAACACAACUGGAGAUUAGGCAGCUGUCUUUCUAUCCUGAGUAGGAAGUUCCCAUGGCAGUGGAGACAACACCGCAAAAGUGGAAACCAGAGAUGGAGAGAGCAAAAAUGGGUCCUGAGGACAUUGCUCAGCCCCCGGACGCCUACAGGGUCUCAAGCCACACUGGAAGCCUAUAAGGCCUGUUCCAGGAUCAUUUGAUUGCUGAAAUAAUAACCUCUUUUUUUUUUUUUUUUUUUUUUGCUUAAUCCUGUUUGAGUUGGGUUUCAGCCAUUUACAAGUAAAACAAAUCCUAACUUAUACAACUCACUGACUAUGGUGCAAAAAUUUUUUUAGAGAUAGGGUCUUGCUCUGUCACC